rnacentral:rRNA from 1 species
UACAGAGGUGGCUAGCGUUGUUCGGAUUUACUGGGCGUAAAGCGCGCGUAGGCGGACCUGCAAGUCGGGUGUGAAAGCCCGACGCUUAACGUCGGAACUGCUUUCGAUACUGGGCGUCUUGAGUCCGGGAGAGGAGAGUGGAAUUCCUAGUGUAGAGGUGAAAUUCGUAGAUAUUAGGAGGAACACCAGUGGCGAAGGCGGCUUUCUGGCCGGGUACUGACCCUGAGGCGCGAAAGCGUGGGGAGCAAACAGG